CUCUGGAUCCGCCACUGAUGAUGACAGAAUGUGGAGGAAAGGUAAAAGACUGUGUUUACCACGAGUGUUGUACCCCAUGAUGGCCCAGAUUGCCCAUGGACCUACACAUCUAUCCAAGAUGCACAUGAACAGCACAGUAAACACCCAUUGGGUAGCACCCGGAUUUACUGUUGUAGCAGCUAAACACACCCAAGCUUGCAUGAUUUGUGCUAGACAAUAUCCAGGACAAGCUGUAAAAACACCAAGUAAGCACACACCAAGGCCACUUUACCCAUUUCAAAGACUG